rnacentral:tRNA from 1 species
GGAGGAAUACACAAGCGGCUGAAGGGGUCGGUUUCGAAAACAGGUAGGAGACGCGAGUCUCGCAAGGGUUCAAAUCCCUUUUCCUCCGCCA